rnacentral:rRNA from 1 species
UACAGAGGUCUCAAGCGUUGUUCGGAUUCAUUGGGCGUAAAGGGUGCGUAGGCGGCGCGGUAAGUCGGGUGUGAAAUCUCGGAGCUUAACUCCGAAACUGCAUUCAAUACUGCUUCGCUUGAGUACUGGAGAGGAGGCUGGAAUUUACGGUGUAGCAGUGAAAUGCGUAGAUAUCGUAAGGAAGGCCGGUGGCGAAAAGCGAGCCUCUGGACAGUUACUGACGCUGAUGCACGAAGGCCAAGGGGAGCAAACGGG